UUGUGGUCAAGCUAAUAAGGGCAUACGGUGGAUGCCUUGGCGUUAAGAGGCGAUGAAGGACGUGGCAGACUGCGCUAAGCUUCGGGGAGUCGUCAAACAGACUUAGAUCCGGAGAUUUCCGAAUGGGGAAACCUACCCUGGGUAAUGCCAGGGAAUCCCGCGUUGAAUACAUAGGCGCGGGAGGCUAACGGGGUGAACUGAGACAUCUUAGUAACCCUAGGAAGAGAAAGCAAUAGCGAUUUCCAAAGUAGCGGCGAGCGAAAUGGAAACAGCCCAAACCGGUGGUAUGUUAAAGCCCGAAAGCGUUGUAUCAUCGGGGUUGUGGGAUUUUGCCGGACACAGUUUCGGAUGUGUCGGAGAGUCAGAAAUCUAUUUCAUAGUCGAAGAAUCUGGAACGGUUCGCCAUAGAAGGUGCAAGCCCUGUAGGCGAAAUGAAAUAGACUCUCUGGGUAGAACACCCAAGUACCGCGGGACACGUGGAAUCCUGUGGGAAUCCGGGAAGACCAUUUCCUAAGGCUAAAUACUCCUUAACGACCGAUAGUGAACCAGUACCGUGAGGGAAAGGUGAAAAGUACUCCUGUGAGGAGAGUGAAAUAGUACCUGAAACCGUUUGUCUACAAGCAGUGGAAGCGCUAUAGAUUAGCUUUGGUUAAUCUAGCGCGACUGCGUGCCUUUUGCAUAAUGAGUCAGCGAGUUACUUAGCGUAGCAAGGUUAAGCCGAUAGGUGUAGCCGGAGCGAAAGCGAGUCUGAAUAGGGCGAAUUAGUUGCGCUGAGUAGACCCGAAACCAGGUGAGCUAUCCAUGGCCAGGGUAAAGUCUCGGUAACACGGGAUGGAGGCCCGAACCAUUGUGGGUUGAAAACCACUUGGAUGAGCUGUGGAUAGGAGUGAAAGGCUAAUCAAACCUGGAGAUAGCUGGUUCUCCCCGAAAUAUAUUUAGGUAUAGCCUUGCAACUGAGUAACGGGGGUAGAGCACUGGAUGGGCUAGGGGUCCUAAAAGAUUACCAAACCCAACCAAACUCCGAAUACCGUUAUCUUUUAUUGCAGGAGUCAGACUGUGGGUGAUAAGAUUCAUGGUCGAGAGGGAAACAGCCCAGACCGCCAGCUAAGGUCCCCAAAUAUGUGCUAAGUGGGAAAGGAAGUGGAAAUGCACAGACAACCAGGAGGUUGGCUUAGAAGCAGCCAUCCUUUAAAGAAAGCGUAAUAGCUCACUGGUCGAGUGGGUCUGCGCCGAAAAUGUAACGGGGCUAAGCACAUUACCGAAGCUGCGGAUUUUCGCCGAUUUAUCGGCGGAGAUGGUAGGGGAGCGUUUUGUUCUGGUUGAAGCUUGACUGAAAGGACGGGUGGACGGAACAAAAGUGACCAUGCUGACAUGAGUAGCGAUAAUGCCGGCGAGAAACCGGCACGCCGUAAGCCCAAGGUUUCCUGAGUAAAGCUAAUCUGCUCAGGGUUAGUCGAUCCCUAAGCCGAGGCCGAAAGGCGUAGGUGAUGGAAAACAGGUUAAUAUUCCUGUACCACCGGAUUGUCAAUGUCCCUUCGGGGGCGAGAGCGAUUGGGGGGACGCAGUGGGGUAGGCCAUUCCCGUGUUGGAAUACGGGAUUCAAGCAGGUAGGCGGAAGAGGCAGGCAAAUCCACCUCUUCGUUUAACGCCGAGAUGUGAUGAGGAGUCCGUAAACGGACAUAAACUGGCUAAUCCCGAACUGCCAAGAAAAGCCUCUAGCGAGACAAUCAGGUGAUCGUACCGGAAACCGACACAGGUAGGCAGGGAGAGUAUCCCGAGGCGCUUGAGAGAACUCUGGUUAAGGAACUCGGCAAAAUGACACCGUAACUUCGGAAUAAGGUGUGCCCUCAUGUAGGUGAGGCUCUUUGCGAGCGGAGCUGAAGAGGGCUGCAGAGAAACGGCGGUAGCGACUGUUUACUAAAAACAUAGGACUCUGCUAAGUCGCAAGACGAUGUAUAGGGUCUGACGCCUGCCCGGUGCUGGAAGGUUAAGGGGAUGUGUUAUCUGCCUUUGGUGGAGAAGCAUUGAACUGAAGCCCCAGUAAACGGCGGCCGUAACUAUAACGGUCCUAAGGUAGCGAAAUUCCUUGUCGGGUAAGUUCCGACCUGCACGAAUGGCGUAACGACUUCCGCGCUGUCUCAACCAGGGACUCAGCGAAAUUGAAUUGGCGGUGAAGAUGCCGUCUACCCGCGAAAAGACGGAAAGACCCCGGCACCUUUACUACAGCUUGACAUUGGAUUUUGGAGUAGUUUGUGUAGGAUAGGUGGGAGGCUGUGAACCCUUGACGCCAGUUGAGGGGAAGCCACCCUUGAAAUACCACCCUGGCUACUCUAGGGUUCUAAUUUCGACCCUUGAAGCAGGGCGAAAGACAGUGUCUGGUGGGUAGUUUGACUGGGGCGGUCGCCUCCCAAAGAGUAACGGAGGCGCGCGAAGGUUCCCUCAGGUUGAUUGGAAACCAACCGUGGAGUGUAAAGGCAGAAGGGAGCUUGACUGCGAGAGAGACAUUUCGAGCAGGUACGAAAGUAGGUCUUAGUGAUCCGGCGGUUCUGCAUGGAAGGGCCGUCGCUCAACGGACAAAAGGUACGCCGGGGAUAACAGGCUCAUAGCGCCCAAGAGUUCAUAUCGACGGCGCUGUUUGGCACCUCGAUGUCGGCUCAUCGCAUCCUGGGGCUGAAGCAGGUCCCAAGGGUUUGGCUGUUCGCCAAUUAAAGCGGUACGUGAGCUGGGUUUAAAACGUCGUGAGACAGUUUGGUCCCUAUCUUUCGCGGGCGUAGGAUAUUUGAGAGGAGCUGUCCCUAGUACGAGAGGACCGGGAUGGACAAACCUCUGGUGGUCCAGUUGUCGCGCCAGCGGCAUAGCUGGGUAGCCACGUUUGGAAGGGAUAACCGCUGAAAGCAUCUAAGCGGGAAGCCCACCUCGAGAUUAGAUAUCCCUUUCACAGGGAAACCUGUGAAACUAAAGGCCCCUUGAAGAUUACAAGGUUGAUAGGCCAAGGGUGUAAGUCCAGUAAUGGAUUAAGCUGAUUGGUACUAAUUGGCCGUGCGGCUUGACCAUAACU
rnacentral:rRNA from 1 species